GGAAUAUCCUACUCGAAACGGGAUUAGAUUUACGUUUUCAUACAUCAUACCCGAGUCCCGUCCCCCUGGAAAUCGUCUGAAAUGGCAAAUAUAUCACGAUGAAAUCUCGCGUAUACCUGCUACACUCGUUUCACGUAAAACGCCGUUAUAACGUUAGGGGAGGCGGGGAGGAGAAAUGAAUCAACGCAUUUUAGCAUUACGGCGGUCCGUGAAUUUCGUAUGAUAUUUCCGCGUUUUUUUUCAUUUUAUACUAACGUUUCUGCGCGUAAUUUUCACCGAUCGCAGAGUCCGCAUGGUAUAACUAUGGUUAAUUGUACAUUUUAAAUGCAACAAAAUACAAAAACCACAGCCGAUUAUAAUUUCCAACAUUAUAACAACAUGGGAAUCGUUUAUACGUCUUAAAGCUUAUAAUGGCUUGAACUUUAAAUGAAUGUACAAACUAUUUUAAUUUUCGAACGGUAACCCCCCAUUUUUCCGACACGGAUUGGAAAAAAUUAAUAAUUGUACGAAAAUUUUGAAAUUUCGAUUACGGGGGUAAAAUAUCUAACUGAAUUGGGAUUGUGCUACUUAGGAACUAAUUAAACGGCAAUCAUAUAUUAUUAUAGCGAACGGGUAGGUUUCGUUUUAAACAAGACAAACGUAUACGUUCAAGUUUUAUUUGUGUACAUUUUAACCAUCGGUACCCGCGCGUUUUUAAUUUUCCUAACGAAAAAGUAAAGAUAUUUGAAUUU